UACGUAGGGGGCAAGCGUUGUUCGGAAUUACUGGGCGUAAAGGGCGCGUAGGCGGCAUGGCAAGUCGGGAGUGAAAGCCCGGGGCUCAACCCCGGAACGGCUUUCGAAACUGCCAAGCUAGAGUACGGAAGGGGCAACUGGAAUUCCCAGUGUAGCGGUGAAAUGCGUAGAUAUUGGGAAGAACACCGGAGGCGAAGGCGGGUUGCUGGGCCGAUACUGACGCUCAUGCACGAAAGCGUGGGGAGCAAACAGG
rnacentral:rRNA from 1 species